ensembl:lncRNA HULC hepatocellular carcinoma up-regulated long non-coding RNA
GCCUGUGGGAUGUCUCACUUUAGAACAUUCGUGAUGAUGAAAAUCUCCAUUCUGCAAGGGCUGUGUCUAUCACAAAAAUCGUCUUCAAAGUGUCUUCUGUAAAGACUUCUUCAGACUGUCAAUAGGAAGACUGAUAAACUCAGUUCAGAUGCGAGAGGAAAUCGAGUCAUCAUCAAUGGCACCUCAUGUUAGCCUGCCAUGGCAACAAGCUCAUUGAUUGAGUAAAAGAACUUUCAGAUGCACUAGCUGGUCUUUAACGGGUUGCUGAAAGCACAGAUAAGACGACUGAGGGAGCCGACUGAAUUUCCAUGGAUAUAUACAAAGGGAAUGGAAAAUCACAGUACGAUUUUUCAUUGGCUCCUGAUAGAGCUAGGUCCUUGUAUAAUUCUAAAACUGGUGUAUAAAACAAUGUCCACGCCAUUCAUUUUGGUUAUAACUAUUAAGGGGAAGGGAGAUGAUGUCUGUGGAAUUGCAAAGUAGUUUGCACUAGAAUUUUCUAUUACAUAUGCUCUAAUAGGAGUAUUUUCCUCUGUUACAUUAUGACUUAUGUAAUAAUAAUAGCUAAGGAUUACUGAGGGUUUUUAUUUUCUUUUCUGCAUGAUCUUGACCGUUUUUCGAAACAGUCCUUGUUGCUGGAUACUAUUUAUGUCACCAUUUUACAAAUGAGAAUGCCAAAGUUCAGAGUGACAUCCAUCUAAAAGAGGCCAGUUUCAGCCUUGAACCCAUUAUACUCUAAUCCCAUUUUCAAAGUAACUCUUGGUUUUCUCAAAAGGCCUUUAAAUGUAUGGAUAAGCCAAUAUGAGGGCAGCAAUGUUGUGGUUAAGUGUGUGCACUUUGGUUGGACUCUGCCGAAGGCCAGCACCACCAUUUAGUAGCUAUGUGAACCAGUGAGUUACUUAAAACCUAUACCUCCACUUCCUCAUCUGCAAAAUGGGGUUGUGGUAAGGCUGGAAUAAGUUAAUGCAUGUAGCAUGUUGAGAAGGCACUGUCUAAGCGCAUGGCACAUGGUAAGCAUGUAGGAAACAGCAACACAUGCCUGGGUCUGAGUUCUGCUCUGUCAUGAUGAUUGGUGCCCAACGGGAAAAGCUCUUCCGCACCAGCGUUUUACAAGCCUAGCUCCUCCUUUUCCAAAACAAGUUCCCAGGCCAUGGUCAAUAUCAACAUUCAGGGGAAAUACAUUCUGUUCAUUGUAGAUAUGACAGUGAGAAUAUUUGCUGAAUAACAAUUAAGCUAUCUGAUUGCGUAAUAGUUAAAAGGUUUGUUUUUACCAUCUGUGAAUUAAAGCCAAAAAUAACAACCAAUUCAUAGAAUAUUGUGACGGUUAUAGGAGAUGCAGCUUGUCAGCUGCUCAGCUCAGCGGCCUGGGCAUGAUUAGAAUUCCACACAUAAUAGUGAUUACCAUCAGUAUUAUUAUUAUUAAGGCAACACAGUGAUCGUAGUAAUGGUAAAACAGAGAGAUCUACCUAAUCCAAAAUUCUAUUCAACAAGGGAGUUUCUACAUAUAGCCACUAUGGUUUCUAAUUUUCAAAGAAUCAGCAUAUAAUAAAAUGCUCUCAAUAAUAAAGCUGAACUGAAUAUAUUAUAAUAACUUAAUGAGGCAGAAGACAUUUGAGAUGCCUCAAUUAUCAAUGUGUUUCACAGAUUCAAAAGUGUAACUUUAUACAUUUAUUCAAUAGAUAAAACACUGACUAGGUCCGCUUAAAGUUGAAAUAGAUUUUUGGAUUCUCUCAAAGUAUAGGGCAAUAACAAAUAUAGAAGUUUUCUGAAAAAAAAUAAGCAAAAUAGAAAUAGUACUAUUAUUAGUUUUAAAAUAUUAUAAAAGAAUUUUAAAUGAGACAAAAAUAAUAUGAUGGCAAUAUAUGGCCUUUUACAAAGAGAGGAACUGAGGCAGGGAGGAGAAAUAAUUCUAGAAUGACAUGCUGGUUAGAGGUAUGAUGUGUCGGACCACAAGAAUGAUGUGAUUCUGACUUUUCCUUUAUUUACAAAUCACUUUGGAUAAACCGAUGGCUCUUGCUGAGCCCCUGGGUUGGUGGAGGAGUAACAUGCCUGGGAGUCGAGCAUCCUAAGACGUGCACCCUGAGGACUGCAGGAAAAGUGCAGAAAUUAGGUAGAAAUAGGGCUUGUUUAGCAUUCAUGAUGGCUAGGUGUCUUACUGCAGGUGUCUUAAGAAACUACCCAGUAACUCACUGAACCAGCAACUCUGUGCAUGGCCUCCUGAGAGGUGAGGGACACAAAGAUUUUAUCAAGAGUGAAGCAUGUGUCUGUGUUCAAGUAUCUUGCAAAAUGAAGACAAAAGAAGUAGUUUGCAAUUAGCUCUUAGUUCCUACCUUUCAAAGAAGCAUCCGCCAGUCAGGUGAGAUGAAACUGACCAUGAAGAGAAGCUUGUAUCUGUAUAAAAUGCAAACCUGUUUGGACAGCGGAAUGGGGUUUGCUUCAAACUUCAGGGUGCAUUUAUAUAAAGCAACAGAGAGUGCACUUUCUAAUAAAAAUAAAAUGAAGCUCAAAUGGCACAAGAGUCUCCUUAUAUUUAAAAUGGUUCUCGUAAAGUAACAUUUUGAUGAUU